AAAUUGAAGAGUUUGAUCAUGGCUCAGAUUGAACGCUGGCGGCAGGCCUAACACAUGCAAGUCGAGCGGUAGCACAGAGAGCUUGCUCUCGGGUGACGAGCGGCGGACGGGUGAGUAAUGUCUGGGAAACUGCCUGAUGGAGGGGGAUAACUACUGGAAACGGUAGCUAAUACCGCAUAAUGUCGCAAGACCAAAGUGGGGGACCUUCGGGCCUCAUGCCAUCAGAUGUGCCCAGAUGGGAUUAGCUAGUAGGUGGGGUAAUGGCUCACCUAGGCGACGAUCCCUAGCUGGUCUGAGAGGAUGACCAGCCACACUGGAACUGAGACACGGUCCAGACUCCUACGGGAGGCAGCAGUGGGGAAUAUUGCACAAUGGGCGCAAGCCUGAUGCAGCCAUGCCGCGUGUGUGAAGAAGGCCUUCGGGUUGUAAAGCACUUUCAGCGGGGAGGAAGGCGAUAAGGUUAAUAACCUUGUUGAUUGACGUUACCCGCAGAAGAAGCACCGGCUAACUCCGUGCCAGCAGCCGCGGUAAUACGGAGGGUGCAAGCGUUAAUCGGAAUUACUGGGCGUAAAGCGCACGCAGGCGGUCUGUCAAGUCGGAUGUGAAAUCCCCGGGCUCAACCUGGGAACUGCAUUCGAAACUGGCAGGCUAGAGUCUUGUAGAGGGGGGUAGAAUUCCAGGUGUAGCGGUGAAAUGCGUAGAGAUCUGGAGGAAUACCGGUGGCGAAGGCGGCCCCCUGGACAAAGACUGACGCUCAGGUGCGAAAGCGUGGGGAGCAAACAGGAUUAGAUACCCUGGUAGUCCACGCCGUAAACGAUGUCGAUUUGGAGGUUGUGCCCUUGAGGCGUGGCUUCCGGAGCUAACGCGUUAAAUCGACCGCCUGGGGAGUACGGCCGCAAGGUUAAAACUCAAAUGAAUUGACGGGGGCCCGCACAAGCGGUGGAGCAUGUGGUUUAAUUCGAUGCAACGCGAAGAACCUUACCUGGUCUUGACAUCCACAGAACUUAGCAGAGAUGCUUUGGUGCCUUCGGGAACUGUGAGACAGGUGCUGCAUGGCUGUCGUCAGCUCGUGUUGUGAAAUGUUGGGUUAAGUCCCGCAACGAGCGCAACCCUUAUCCUUUGUUGCCAGCGGUUAGGCCGGGAACUCAAAGGAGACUGCCAGUGAUAAACUGGAGGAAGGUGGGGAUGACGUCAAGUCAUCAUGGCCCUUACGACCAGGGCUACACACGUGCUACAAUGGCAUAUACAAAGAGAAGCGACCUCGCGAGAGCAAGCGGACCUCAUAAAGUAUGUCGUAGUCCGGAUUGGAGUCUGCAACUCGACUCCAUGAAGUCGGAAUCGCUAGUAAUCGUAGAUCAGAAUGCUACGGUGAAUACGUUCCCGGGCCUUGUACACACCGCCCGUCACACCAUGGGAGUGGGUUGCAAAAGAAGUAGGUAGCUUAACCUUCGGGAGGGCGCUUACCACUUUGUGAUUCAUGACUGGGGUGAAGUCGUAACAAGGUAACCGUAGGGGAACCUGCGGUUGGAUCACCUCCUUA
rnacentral:rRNA from 1 species